rnacentral:rRNA from 1 species
CCCCCGGCUUAAGCAUAUCAAUAAGCGGAGGAAAAGAAACCAACAGGGAUUGCCCCAGUAACGGCGAGUGAAGCGGCAACAGCUCAAAUUUGAAAUCUGGCCCUCGGGUCCGAGUUGUAAUUUGUAGAGGAUGCUUUUGGCGAGGUGCCUUCCGAGUUCCCUGGAACGGGACGCCAUAGAGGGUGAGAGCCCCGUCUGGUCGGACACCGAGCCUCUGUAAAGCUCCUUCAACGAGUCGAGUAGUUUGGGAAUGCUGCUCAAAAUGGGAGGUAUAUGUCUUCUAAAGCUAAAUAUUGGCCAGAGACCGAUAGCGCACAAGUAGAGUGAUCGAAAGAUGAAAAGCACUUUGAAAAGAGGGUUAAAAAGUACGUGAAAUUGUUGAAAGGGAAGCGCUUAUGACCAGACUUGCGCCCGGUGAAUCAUCCAGCGUUCUCGCUGGUGCACUUUGCCGGGCACAGGCCAGCAUCAGUUUGGCGCGGGGGAAAAAGGCUUCGGGAAUGUGGCUCCCUCGGGAGUGUUAUAGCCCGCUGCGUAAUACCCUGCGCCGGACUGAGGUACGCGCAUUGCAAGGAUGCUGGCGUAAUGGUCAUCAGCGACCCGUCUUGAAACACGGACCAAGGAGUCGUCUUCGUAUGCGAGUGUUCGGGUGUCAAACCCCUACGCGUAAUGAAAGUGAACGCAGGUGAGAGCUUCGGCGCAUCAUCGACCGAUCCUGAUGUUCUCGGAUGGAUUUGAGUAAGAGCAUACGGGGCCGGACCCGAAAGAAGGUGAACUAUGCCUGUAUAGGGUGAAGCCAGAGGAAACUCUGGUGGAGGCUCGCAGCGGUUCUGACGUGCGAAUCGAUCGUCAAAUAUGGGCAUGGGGGCGAAAGACUAAUCGAA